rnacentral:lncRNA from 1 species
UGAUGAUCUUUAAGGCAACAGCUUGUUUAUAAGCCUCUUUAAGAAGGUAUCAUACAAUUGCUGAGGUUGGAAGGGGCCUUAAAAAUCAUAAUGCUUCAACCCACCUGCUGUGGGCUGGAUGCCCCCCCACCAGCUCAGGCUGCCCAGGACCCCCUUCUUUUCAGAGGAGAGCAGACGGAGAAAGUGAGUCAUGAAAGCUACAGCAGUGUGGUCAGGGUCACAGAGCAUCGAGGACUUAAAGAUUAGUGAAUACUCAUAGCAUUGGGCUGUAUAUCUGGAAUAUGUGUCUUUGCCUUUUUCUGCCCUACUCUUUUGUUUUAAGCUUCUGGUGUUUUCCAGAGCACUUUCAACAUUGCCUUAUAAGUAAUUUUUUCUUUCAUGCCAAGUAGGCAGGAGGAAUUUACAAACGAUUGAGUGAAAUACAUAAAACAAAUAUUUUCCAUUGCAAUUACAAGGUUGGCCUCACCAUACAAAUUAUUUUUGGAAAAAAAAUGCUCUUAAUACUGUUACCCACAUUUUCCAAGAUAAAAGAGGAUGAAACUGAAGUUGCUGCACUGUAAUCCAUUAGUCUGGUAUGUAUGAUGGAUCACAGCUAGAUACAAACCAUGUACCAAGGAGCUCUAAGUGAUCCUCCAGCUGACCCCAACUUUUGAAGCUGAUUUUUCCACUACCCAGAUGCUGCAGCCCAACAAAACUUCCUAGGCACGUGGCAUCCAUCCUCCCUGCUGUGCUGGCCCUCAGCUAUCUUGGAGGCAGUUUGCUGUGCAGCUCUGGAUGCUGCAGGUGAUGUGCAUAUGGGAAGUCUCCUGACAUGAAGCAUUUCACACUGGAAAAUGUAAUUCUGGGAAACGCUUAGUUUGUCUGAGUGGAUUCUUGAGUGGAUUUCAAUUAAUGUUGCCCUGCAGAACAUUGCUGGAUGUGUGUAGGGGCAUGUAGGGGAGGGGAAUAUUGCUGAGCCAACCAGUCGUGUCUUCCAGAGCCCUCUGCUUCUUCUCAUCAUAAAAAUUCAGGGAAGAUACCAAAGACUACAUUCAUAUUACCUUAUGAAAGAAACUAAUCAUGGUGACUACUCACAGCUGUUAAAAAGCCCAGAAAUUCUUAGCAGUGACCCAAGUUCCACAGAGGGCAACUUCACUGCAGAGUAGGACAAGCUUUGCAAAUGAGGUUUCUUUCAUUCUCUGCACAUAAGAUGGCUUCUAUGUGAUUUAUAUCAAAUGUGCCUUGGAAGCUCCCUGCCAUUUGCUGA